AUGGCUUCACAGGCGGCAUCUGCUUGCAGGACGACCAUCCUACUCGCCGUCGUUUUGGCCGCGUUGGUCCUGCCAUCCUUAGCUUGUCGGAAGGCUCUCGCUCCGGCUCCUGCGCUGGCUCCAAGUCCAGGUCCGGCGCUGGCUCCGGCCCCGGCUCCGGCAUCUGCAAUACUAUGUCAGGAUUGUGACUUGCGGUGUCAGUCGAAGUCGAUGUGCGACGCCUACGUCGCCGCGGCCGGAUGCGGAAAUGCCUGCAGCGGCGCGACGCCGGACUGCGAACCCUGCAUGUCCGAGGGCCUCCAGUCCUGCACAGCCAGCUGCAACGAGGGCUGCUCCAGGAACUGCGGUGGCCAGUGCGACUGCACCGGCCCAUGCAACAAAUCCUGCGGCGACGCCACCCAGCGCGCAUGUCAGAGCAAGUGCGCCUACUCCUACUAUGCAGUCAAGUAUUGCCACGAAUGCCAGGACAGUGCCCGCACGCGGUGCACCGAUGCCUGCAACAGCGACUGCAAAGCCAACUGUGGCAGCGGCUAA
rnacentral:rRNA from 1 species